UGUAAGGUGGUGAAAUAGGCAGACACACCUCCUUGUCUCGGUGGUGGAGAUCAUGGGAAUCCGGAAACGGUUAACCACUCCUUGGAGGUUCGAUUCCUUCCCUUACAG
rnacentral:tRNA from 1 species